AAAGUUAUAACUAAGUGAUAUAGUGCAUGCCUAGUAUGCUUUAGGCUCUGGGUUAAAUUCCCAGUAUCAUAA
rnacentral:tRNA from 1 species